rnacentral:rRNA from 1 species
UACGUAGGUGGCAAGCGUUGUCCGGAUUUACUGGGCGUAAAGAGCGCGCAGGCGGUCGUUCAAGUCGCGUGUGAAAGCCCCCGGCUCAACUGGGGAGGGUCACGCGAUACUGAUCGACUGGAAGGCAGGAGAGGGUAGUGGAAUUCCCGGUGUAGUGGUGAAAUGCGCAGAUAUCGGGAGGAACACCAGUAGCGAAGGCGACUCACUGGCCCGAUACUGACGCUGAGGCGCGAAAGCGUGGGGAGCAAACAGG